GUGGAUGUAGCUCAGUCGGUAGAGCACUUGACUGUGGAUCAAGUGGUCGUGGGUUCAAAUCCCAUCAUCCACCCCA
rnacentral:tRNA from 1 species